UCAUAAGAGAUUUUAUUUAGGUCAUACCUGAAUGAAUGAUCUAGUGGUUUCCCUUACAUUCUUCAAUUUAAGUGUGAAUUUGGAAAUAAGGAGUUCGUGAUCUGAGUCACAGUCAGCUCUCAGUCUUUUUUUUUUGCUGACUGUAUAGAGCUUCUCCAUCUUUGGCUGCAAAGAAUAUAAUCA